GAUGAACGCUGGCGGCGUGCCUAAUACAUGCAAGUCGAGCGAACAGACGAGGAGCUUGCUCCUCUGACGUUAGCGGCGGACGGGUGAGUAACACGUGGAUAACCUACCUAUAAGACUGGGAUAACUUCGGGAAACCGGAGCUAAUACCGGAUAAUAUAUUGAACCGCAUGGUUCAAUAGUGAAAGACGGUUUUGCUGUCACUUAUAGAUGGAUCCGCGCCGCAUUAGCUAGUUGGUAAGGUAACGGCUUACCAAGGCGACGAUGCGUAGCCGACCUGAGAGGGUGAUCGGCCACACUGGAACUGAGACACGGUCCAGACUCCUACGGGAGGCAGCAGUAGGGAAUCUUCCGCAAUGGGCGAAAGCUUGACGGAGCAACGCCGCGUGAGUGAUGAAGGUCUUCGGAUCGUAAAACUCUGUUAUUAGGGAAGAAAAAAUGUGUAAGUAACUAUGCACGUCUUGACGGUACCUAAUCAGAAAGCCACGGCUAACUACGUG
rnacentral:rRNA from 1 species